rnacentral:rRNA from 1 species
UUUUGGACAAUGGGCGAAAGCCUGAUCCAGCCAUGCCGCGUGAGUGAAGAAGGCCUUCGGGUUGUAAAGCUCUUUCGCAAGGAAAGAAAACUUACAUAUUAAUACUAUGUGAGGAUGACGGUACCUUGAUAAGAAGCACCGGCUAACUACGUGCCAGCAGCCGCGGUAAUACGUAGGGUGCAAGCGUUAAUCGGAAUUACUGGGCGUAAAGCGAGCGCAGGCGGUUUUGUAAGUCAGAUGUGAAAGCCCCGGGCUCAACCUGGGAACUGCGUUUAAACUACAAGGCUAGAGAUGGAGAGGGAGGAGAUUCCACGUGAGCAGUAAAUGCGAGAAUGUGAGAAUCCAAUGGCGAGGAGCCUCCUGCCAAUCUGCGUAUCUAAAUAG